GACCCAUCUUGCUCAUUAGACAUGUUCAGUUUUGUUGACCUAGUAUACCUUGCUAAAUAUAAGAAAUCCACCUCUCACGUUUUAAUAUGCUACCUAUAAUUAUGUUAUGAGUGACCCAUUAAAUAAACUUAGUUUUCAUUCCUUUAUUUUCUGAUUUUGUUCAAGAGUAACCGUCACAUGUUUAUCUAUCUAGUUAUGCCAUGAAUAACACAAUCAGAGAAGAGACUUGAAAUAACUCUCACGGCUACAAACAUCCUGCAGAUAGACAUGUAACAAAUACACCCUAGCAGUCUCCUUUGAUUAUCACUUCUUCAUCGGACUCUCUGCUCAUUAUUGGACCUUCAAAUAUUUCCUAUGUCCAUCAAUUAGUUCCUAUCAUUCCUUCUUUGUCCAACUCGUGUACCAAAGAUUAUAUAUGAAGUUUGAUGUGUGAUGAAAGCGUACGCGGAGACAAAAAUUGGGUUUUUGAUUGAAUUGUAACUCUAGAAGAAAAUUUUGAAGGAUAAUUAAUUUAAGAAUUUUGUAUAAGUUUUUCUAAUAAUUUAUUAUUGAUGAUAAACAAAAAUAGUAGUAUUUUUGAAAAAUGAGAAUGUAUUAAGCGUAAUGUCUUGGACCAAAAUUCGGGGAGUUACAGAUAACCAUUUUUUUUAAUUAUUUUGUUGACAACUUGUAAUUAUUAGUGGUUUUCUUGGUACACCUUAGACUAAGGAGACUACUCAGUGUUAAUAUAUUCUAUUUUUUUGUUUGUUAAAAAAUAUGCGGUUGUGAUUUUUGUA